GAUGAACGCUGGCGGCGUGCCUAAUACAUGCAAGUCGAGCGAACAGACGAGGAGCUUGCUCCUCUGACGUUAGCGGCGGACGGGUGAGUAACACGUGGAUAACCUACCUAUAAGACUGGGAUAACUUCGGGAAACCGGAGCUAAUACCGGAUAAUAUAUUGAACCGCAUGGUUCAAUAGUGAAAGACGGUUUUGCUGUCACUUAUAGAUGGAUCCGCGCCGCAUUAGCUAGUUGGUAAGGUAACGGCUUACCAAGGCAACGAUGCGUAGCCGACCUGAGAGGGUGAUCGGCCACACUGGAACUGAGACACGGUCCAGACUCCUACGGGAGGCAGCAGUAGGGAAUCUUCCGCAAUGGGCGUAAGCCUGACGGAGCAACGCCGCGUGAGUGUUGAAGGUCUUCGGAUCGUAAAACUCUGUUAUUAGGGAAGAACAAAUGUGUAAGUAACUAUGCACGUCUUGACGGUACCUAAUCAGAAAGCCACGGCUAACUACGUG
rnacentral:rRNA from 1 species